UACGGAGGGUGCAAGCGUUGUUCGGAAUCACUGGGCGUAAAGGGCGUGUAGGCGGUCCGCUAAGUCUGAUGUGAAAGCCCGGGGCUCACCCCCGGAAGGGCAUUGGAAACUGGCGGACUCGAGUCUCGGAGAGGUAGGUGGAAUUCCUGGUGUAGCGGUGAAAUGCGUAGAUAUGCGGAGGAACACCGAUGGCGAAGGCAGUCCCCUGGGCCUGUACUGACGCUCAUGCACGAAAGCGUGGGGAGCAAACAGG
rnacentral:rRNA from 1 species